rnacentral:lncRNA from 1 species
CAGGGUCCGUAUGCACGACCGGCAGCGGGGUACGGCCACGUAGCGAGCGAGCGAGGCUACGUGUCUAGGAGGCCUCAUCUCGUAAGAGCCGUGAGACACUCGCGUGUUCCGUUAUGUGGAGGACAGCCAAGCGACUGGAGUUACAGAAGAGGAAGGGAGGAGAGAAGGAGAAAGAAGCGUCUGAGCUGGCAAGGUCUCCUGGCAGCUCCAAGAGCGAGAGCUGUGCUGGAUGUCAGCUGGCACCGUUUCGCCGUGCUUGCCCUUUCUUCUGCCAUGACAAUACGAGACAGAUGGAAAGAAUCCAUAGUGGUCUGCAAGUACAAGGUACGUCUGUGAUGUGUGUCUGCGUUUUUCCAAAGGUACUUGCAGUAUGGACUUUAACAUUAAGAGUGUGCCAACUCUCCUUUUACAUUUUUUUACGUGAAAUAUUGUAACGCAAAUACUAAAAAUAAGUUCUGUUCUGGAGCAAGUUACACCUAUGCAAAGUUUACUUCCCUCCGUUUAUUUUCUCUUCCUGAAAGCAUAAUCUUCUGUUUCUGUGCACUUGCUAGUAAAUGAUAUAGUGAAAAUAAUUUUGUACUAAAAGAGGGAAGAAACUGUUCGUAAGAGUUCAGCUGUUCAGAAGAAACAGACUUUGUUUUCAUGAUAAAAGCUUUAUGCUUUUGCAGUCCAUGAGUUUUUUAAAAUAGCUUAUAGGAGUACUCGACAACCUUACUGAGAUAACUAGCAUCUGUGCUAAAAGCAAUCGAGGUCAAAGAAGAGACGUGGACAAAACAGGACAAAUUGGCGUCGCAUCUGUGUGUUUUCCAGGCUUUCCCAGGAAGCACUGGCAGCCCUGUAACUAGUGACAGUGAGUCCUGAUUGUUUUUGAUGAGUUACUGCUUCAGUAAUGUAUUUUUUCCUUUAACCUACAGCGUGUCAUUUUGACUUCAGUUGGAAAGAGAUUUUCCAAAAUGGAAGUCUUUGUCACUCAAAGAAAUUUUCUUUUAUGAACUUCCCAUCAGAGUGGAUCUUCAGAGGUGAUCGACUUGACAGUAGAAGUCAUCAGUAACAAGACUUUUCACUCUCUUUAAAAAGAGGGGGGGAAAAAAAAAAAAAAAGUCAAUUUCCUUCCAAAGACCCAAGCACAGCCCAUCUUCCUAAAGUUGAUGGCAUCGCUGGUCUUUGGUUUCUCAGUUGUAACAGUCGCGACAACAUGAAAAUGUGUUGCUCUGCGUGCUUCAGUACUGCCAAAAGCAUUAGGAAAUCCGCCAGUCCUUUUUGGUAGUCUGAGGUAUUGCAGCACUGGGGAUUUUACAAAUUGACCUGCAUUGUUUAAAGUGUAACUGCCAAAUAGCUGUAGUAUAUCAUUUAUGAGGUGUAUGUAAGCAGUUAGGUAUUUUUCUAAAUGUUUAAAAAGAGAGGCAACUGAAUGUUGUGGGUUUUCUUUCCUGACGUUUUGACGGAGUGCUCUGAAGUACUUUCUUUCUGUCUGGCUUUCAAUGGUGUGUUUCCCUGGCAGUUCAGUAGCACCUCUCUUGGGCAGCGCAGCUGGCCAGGUGUUCCUCCUCAUUACGUAACACACACAAAAACCCCCUAGUCACAUUAUAACUGUGUACUUUGGAGAUAGAUAAUUUAACGGUAGGAAUUCAGAGCUGUGCAAGUUAAGGUAAUGCAAAAGGAAAAUCAAAUACUUUUACAGUAUAAGUAUUCUUAUUGGAUGUAUAUAAACGUGGGCACACCCUUUGAGUGUAAAGUGAAUUAUUGAGAUUUAUUCUUUAUUUUUCAUUUUGCUCUUUGAAGUUUUCCACUUCACUUUCAGCUUUAUUCACCAAACAAGCAAGAUGCAAAGCAGCAGCAGCAGCGCAAGGGCUGUAGCUGUUGCGGUGGAUCCGUAAGCAUAGAUUCUGAUUGUGUACGACCUCGUCCCGCAGCCUCCCGGGGUUCUCUCCCUGCAGCAGUGCUGUAAGGAAGGGAGGAGACGUUUUCCAACCCCGGCAAGAGUGUUUACUUGUGUGCUAAGCAGGUGUUCAAAAUGGUAUCAAUUAGCCUAAAUGCUGAUUUUAAGUGUUCAAAUAGCUCUUAACUUUUAAAGGAGGGUGGUGUAUUUCGAGCUGACCUGUUUACCUGGAAUCCUCCUUUAGCUCAGCGACUCUCCUUGUGCACCCCCAGCCUCCGCUGGCAGGGCGGUAUGAGAAGCUGGAAGGUCCUUGACUUAGUAUAAACCCUGCUUAGCAACAACUAAAGCGUCGGUGUGUUGUCAACGUUAUUCUCGUCCUAAAUCCAAAAUGGCCCUGUACCAGCUACUCAGGAAGAAAAUUAACUUUAUUCCAGCCAAAACCAGGACAACCCCAAACCCCCCUGAUUCUGGGUCUGCAACAGGGAAAAAAAACAAACGAAUUUGGGACUCCUGGGAAAGCCAAAUCCGCCUGGAUCUGUGCAGCUGGAAAGGAAAAAAUCCCACCCCGUUUUCACGCGCAAAACCACAA